rfam:Myotis davidii contig88472, whole genome shotgun sequence.
CAUGUACCGGUGGGGUCCCUCAGCCUGGCCUAUGGGCAUUGGGCUGAAACUGGCAGUCUGACCUUCCUUGAGGGCUCCCGGAUUGCGAGAGGGUGCAGGCCAGGCUGAGGGACCCCACCGGUGCACG